rnacentral:sRNA from 3 species
UAUCUCUCCGUACGGGGAAGGAUGAGAAGCUUCGACUAAGGUUCGAUUCGAGCGCAGCGACGAAUAAUCCUUCCCCCACCAUCA